rnacentral:lncRNA from 1 species
GGGAAGUACAGAUGACUCCCCAGGUGAGACGGCAUUUGAUUGAGAGCUUAGAACAAGAGUUCCACAGAUGAGGAGAAGAAAGAAGCUUUCACUCCAGUUUCAGAACUGCCAGGAAAGCUGCAGAACAAAGGUCUGAAAACAUAAGAGAAGCCAGGAAAAUGCAAGUCCUUCCUCCUGACCCUAGAAAAUCUCUGCUGCCAAGGCUGGGACUCUGCUGCCAACUUCAGGCCUGGGAAAACCAAGACUCCAGGAGCUCUACCUCUAGGAUUCUUCCAAACAUCUCACCAUGUCCUCUGAUACCUCUGUAGUCAUCUGCCACAACCUACUUCUGAAUAAAUCCUACAUUCCACCUUUCUGUGCCUG